rnacentral:rRNA from 1 species
CCCUUAGAUGUCCUGGGCCGCACGCGCGUAACACUGAUGCAUUCAACGAGCUUAUAACCUUGGCCGAGAGGCCUGGGCAAUCUUGUUAACGUGCAUCGUGAUAGGGAUAGAUUAUUGAAAUUAUUAAUCUUGAACGAGGAAUUCCUAGUAAACGCAGAUCAUCAAUCUGCAUUGAUUACGUCCCUGCCCUUUGUACACACCGCCCGUCGCACCUACCGAUUGGAUGGUCCGGUGAAGCCUCGGGAUUGUGGUUCUUGCCGCUUUAUUGUGGCGUGACCGCGAGAACUUGUCUAAACCUUAUCAUCUAGAGGAAGGUGAAGUCGUAACA